AAGAAGGAUGGCAAGAAGCGCAAGCG
rnacentral:piRNA from 2 species